CUUGACGACCAUAGAACAUUGGAACCACCUGAUCCCAUCCCGAACUCAGCAGUGAAACGAUGUAUCGCCGA
rnacentral:rRNA from 1 species